GCAAGUCGAACGGUAGAGGGGGCAACCCCUCGAGAGUGGCGAACGGGUCAGUAAUAUAUCGGAACGUGCCCAGUCGUGGGGGAUAACGUAGUGAAAAUUACGCUAAUACCGCAUACGAUCUAAGGAUGAAAGCGGGGGACUCGCAAGAGCCUCGCGCGAUUGGAGCGGCCGAUAUCAGAUUAGGUAGUUGGUGAGGUAAAGGCUCACCAAGCCAACGAUCUGUAGCUGGUCUGAGAGGACGACCAGCCACACUGGAACUGAGACACGGUCCAGACUCCUACGGGAGGCAGCAGUGGGGAAUUUUGGACAAUGGACGCAAGUCUGAUCCAGCCAUUCCGCGUGCAGGACGAAGGCCUUCGGGUUGUAAACUGCUUUUGUACAGAACGAAAAGGUCUCUAUUAAUACUAGGGGCUCAUGACGGUACUGUAAGAAUAAGCACCGGCUAACUACGUGCCAGCAGCCGCGGUAAUACGUAGGGUGCAAGCGUUAAUCGGAAUUACUGGGCGUAAAGCGUGCGCAGGCGGUUAUAUAAGACAGAUGUGAAAUCCCCGGGCUCAACCUGGGAACUGCAUUUGUGACUGUAUAGCUGGAGUGCGGCAGAGGGGGAUGGAAUUCCGCGUGUAGCAGUGAAAUGCGUAGAUAUGCGGAGGAACACCGAUGGCGAAGGCAAUCCCCUGGGCCUGCACUGACGCUCAUGCACGAAAGCGUGGGGAGCAAACAGGAUUAGAUACCCUGGUAGUCCACGCCCUAAACGAUGUCAACUGGUUGUUGGGUCUUCACUGACUCAGUAACGAAGCUAACGCGUGAAGUUGACCGCCUGGGGAGUACGGCCGCAAGGUUGACACUCAAAGGAAUUGACGGGGACCCGCACAAGCGGUGGAUGAUGUGGUUUAAUUCGAUGCAACGCGAAAAACCUUACCCACCUUUGACAUGUACGGAAUUCGCCAGAGAUGGCUUAGUGCU
rnacentral:rRNA from 1 species